rnacentral:rRNA from 1 species
GGGUUGUGAGGUUAAGCGACUAAGCGUACACGGUGGAUGCCCUGGCAGUCAGAGGCGAUGAAGGACGUGCUAAUCUGCGAUAAGCGUCGGUAAGGUGAUAUGAACCGUUAUAACCGGCGAUUUCCGAAUGGGGAAACCCAGUGUGAUUCGUCACACUAUCAUUAACUGAAUCCAUAGGUUAAUGAGGCGAACCGGGGGAACUGAAACAUCUAAGUACCCCGAGGAAAAGAAAUCAACCGAGAUUCCCCCAGUAGCGGCGAGCGAACGGGGAGCAGCCCAGAGCCUGAAUCAGUGUGUGUGUUAGUGGAAGCGUCUGGAAAGGCGCGCGAUACAGGGUGACAGCCCCGUACACAAAAAUGCACAUGCUGUGAGCUCGAUGAGUAGGGCGGGACACGUGGUAUCCUGUCUGAAUAUGGGGGGACCAUCCUCCAAGGCUAAAUACUCCUGACUGACCGAUAGUGAACCAGUACCGUGAGGGAAAGGCGAAAAGAACCCCGGCGAGGGGAGUGAAAAAGAACCUGAAACCGUGUACGUACAAGCAGUGGGAGCACGCUUAGGCGUGUGACUGCGUACCUUUUGUAUAAUGGGUCAGCGACUUAUAUUCUGUAGCAAGGUUAACCGAAUAGGGGAGCCGAAGGGAAACCGAGUCUUAACUGGGCGUUAAGUUGCAGGGUAUAGACCCGAAACCCGGUGAUCUAGCCAUGGGCAGGUUGAAGGUUGGGUAACACUAACUGGAGGACCGAACCGACUAAUGUUGAAAAAUUAGCGGAUGACUUGUGGCUGGGGGUGAAAGGCCAAUCAAACCGGGAGAUAGCUGGUUCUCCCCGAAAGCUAUUUAGGUAGCGCCUCGUGAAUUCAUCUCCGGGGGUAGAGCACUGUUUCGGCAAGGGGGUCAUCCCGACUUACCAACCCGAUGCAAACUGCGAAUACCGGAGAAUGUUAUCACGGGAGACACACGGCGGGUGCUAACGUCCGUCGUGAAGAGGGAAACAACCCAGACCGCCAGCUAAGGUCCCAAAGUCAUGGUUAAGUGGGAAACGAUGUGGGAAGGCCCAGACAGCCAGGAUGUUGGCUUAGAAGCAGCCAUCAUUUAAAGAAAGCGUAAUAGCUCACUGGUCGAGUCGGCCUGCGCGGAAGAUGUAACGGGGCUAAACCAUGCACCGAAGCUGCGGCAGCGACGCUUAUGCGUUGUUGGGUAGGGGAGCGUUCUGUAAGCCUGCGAAGGUGUGCUGUGAGGCAUGCUGGAGGUAUCAGAAGUGCGAAUGCUGACAUAAGUAACGAUAAAGCGGGUGAAAAGCCCGCUCGCCGGAAGACCAAGGGUUCCUGUCCAACGUUAAUCGGGGCAGGGUGAGUCGACCCCUAAGGCGAGGCCGAAAGGCGUAGUCGAUGGGAAACAGGUUAAUAUUCCUGUACUUGGUGUUACUGCGAAGGGGGGACGGAGAAGGCUAUGUUGGCCGGGCGACGGUUGUCCCGGUUUAAGCGUGUAGGCUGGUUUUCCAGGCAAAUCCGGAAAAUCAAGGCUGAGGCGUGAUGACGAGGCACUACGGUGCUGAAGCAACAAAUGCCCUGCUUCCAGGAAAAGCCUCUAAGCAUCAGGUAACAUCAAAUCGUACCCCAAACCGACACAGGUGGUCAGGUAGAGAAUACCAAGGCGCUUGAGAGAACUCGGGUGAAGGAACUAGGCAAAAUGGUGCCGUAACUUCGGGAGAAGGCACGCUGAUAUGUAGGUGAAGUCCCUCGCGGAUGGAGCUGAAAUCAGUCGAAGAUACCAGCUGGCUGCAACUGUUUAUUAAAAACACAGCACUGUGCAAACACGAAAGUGGACGUAUACGGUGUGACGCCUGCCCGGUGCCGGAAGGUUAAUUGAUGGGGUCAGCGCAAGCGAAGCUCUUGAUCGAAGCCCCGGUAAACGGCGGCCGUAACUAUAACGGUCCUAAGGUAGCGAAAUUCCUUGUCGGGUAAGUUCCGACCUGCACGAAUGGCGUAAUGAUGGCCAGGCUGUCUCCACCCGAGACUCAGUGAAAUUGAACUCGCUGUGAAGAUGCAGUGUACCCGCGGCAAGACGGAAAGACCCCGUGAACCUUUACUAUAGCUUGACACUGAACAUUGAGCCUUGAUGUGUAGGAUAGGUGGGAGGCUUUGAAGUGUGGACGCCAGUCUGCAUGGAGCCGACCUUGAAAUACCACCCUUUAAUGUUUGAUGUUCUAACGUUGACCCGUGAUCCGGGUUGCGGACAGUGUCUGGUGGGUAGUUUGACUGGGGCGGUCUCCUCCUAAAGAGUAACGGAGGAGCACGAAGGUUGGCUAAUCCUGGUCGGACAUCAGGAGGUUAGUGCAAUGGCAUAAGCCAGCUUGACUGCGAGCGUGACGGCGCGAGCAGGUGCGAAAGCAGGUCAUAGUGAUCCGGUGGUUCUGAAUGGAAGGGCCAUCGCUCAACGGAUAAAAGGUACUCCGGGGAUAACAGGCUGAUACCGCCCAAGAGUUCAUAUCGACGGCGGUGUUUGGCACCUCGAUGUCGGCUCAUCACAUCCUGGGGCUGAAGUAGGUCCCAAGGGUAUGGCUGUUCGCCAUUUAAAGUGGUACGCGAGCUGGGUUUAGAACGUCGUGAGACAGUUCGGUCCCUAUCUGCCGUGGGCGCUGGAGAACUGAGGGGGGCUGCUCCUAGUACGAGAGGACCGGAGUGGACGCAUCACUGGUGUUCGGGUUGUCAUGCCAAUGGCACUGCCCGGUAGCUAAAUGCGGAAGAGAUAAGUGCUGAAAGCAUCUAAGCACGAAACUUGCCCCGAGAUGAGUUCUCCCUGACUCCUUGAGAGUCCUGAAGGAACGUUGAAGACGACGACGUUGAUAGGCCGGGUGUGUAAGCGCAGCGAUGCGUUGAGCUAACCGGUACUAAUGAACCGUGAGGCUUAACCUUACAACGCUGAAGCUGUU